GGCGUGCCUACCAUGCAAGUCGAGCGGGCAUCAGCAAUGGUGUCAGCGGCGGACGGGUGCGUAACGCGUGAAUAAUCUGUCCUCAUCAGGGGGAUAACGUUUGGAAACAGACGCUAAUACCGCAUAAGACCACGGGAGGGAAUCCUUCUGAGGUAAAAGGAGCAAUUCGGAUGAGGGUGAGUUCGCGUCCCAUUAGCUAGUUGGUAGGGUAACGGCCUACCAAGGCGACGAUGGGUAGCCGAUCUGAGAGGAUGACCGGCCACACUGGAACUGAGAAACGGUCCAGACUCCUACGGGAGGCAGCAGUGGGGAAUAUUGGGCAAUGGGCGAAAGCCUGACCCAGCGACGCCGCGUGAGGGAAGAAGGCCUUCGGGUUGUAAACCUCUGUCCCAUGUGAAGAGAAGAAGACGGUAGCAUGGGAGGAAGCCCCGGCUAACUACGUGCCAGCAGCCGCGGUAAUACGUAGGGGGCGAGCGUUGUCCGGAAUGACUGGGCGUAAAGGGCGUGUAGGUGGCCUUAUAAGUAUCAGGUGGAAGUCCCGAAUUCAAAGCGGGAAUUGCCUGGUAGACUGUAGGGCUUGAGUGUGGGAGAGGAUAGCGGAAUUCCCGGUGUAGCGGUGAAAUGCGUAGAGAUCGGGAGGAACACCAGUGGCGAAGGCGGCUAUCUGGACCAAGACUGACACUGAGGCGCGAAAGCGUGGGUAGCAAACAGGAUUAGAUACCCUGGUAGUCCACGCUGUAAACGAUGGAUGCUAGGUGUAGGAGGUAUCGACCCCUUCUGUGCCGCAGUUAACGUAAUAAGCAUCCCGCCUGGGGGAGUACGGCCGCAGGUGAACUCAAGAUGCGGA
rnacentral:rRNA from 1 species